rnacentral:rRNA from 1 species
CCUACGGGUGGCAGCAGUGAGGAAUAUUGGUCAAUGGCCGGAAGGCUGAACCAGCCAUGCCGCGUGAAGGUCAGUGCCCUAUGGGCGUUAAACUUCUUUUGUGUGGGAGCAAUAAUGGUCACGUGUGGCCAGACGAGAGUACCGUACGAAUAAGCAUCGGCUAACUCCGUGCCAGCAGCCGCGGUAAUACGGGGGAUGCAAGCGUUAUCCGGAUUUAUUGGGUUUAAAGGGUGCGUAGGCUGUGAGGUAAGUCAGCGGUGAAAUGCCCCAGCUCAACGGGGUGAAGUGCCAUUGAUACUGCCUGGCUGGAAUGCGGAUGCCGUGGGAGGAAUGUGUGGUGUAGCGGUGAAAUGCAUAGAUAUCACACAGAACACCGAUUGCGAAGGCAUCUCACGAAUCCGCGAUUGACGCUGAUGCACGAAAGCGUGGGUAUCAAACAGGAUUAGAUACCCUUGUAGUC